UACGAAGGGGGCUAGCGUUGUUCGGAAUUACUGGGCGUAAAGCGCACGUAGGCGGAUAUUUAAGUCAGGGGUGAAAUCCCGGGGCUCAACCCCGGAACUGCCUUUGAUACUGGGUAUCUCGAGUCCGAGAGAGGUGAGUGGAAUUCCGAGUGUAGAGGUGAAAUUCGUAGAUAUUCGCAAGAACACCAGUGGCGAAGGCGGCUCACUGGCCCGGUACUGACGCUGAGGUGCGAAAGCGUGGGGAGCAAACAGGG
rnacentral:rRNA from 1 species